AGCGAACGCUGGCGGCGUGGAUUAGGCAUGCAAGUCGAACGGGACUGAGUCGCAAGAUUCAGUUCAGUGGCGAAAGGGCGAGUAUUACAUCGAUCAUCUACCCCAGGGCCGGAACAACACCUGGAAACGGGUGCUAAUGCCGGAUGGUCCAGCAAUGGGUAAACGGCGGGGACCGCAAGGCCUGCCGCCCAGGGAGGAGUCGAUGG
rnacentral:rRNA from 1 species